rnacentral:tRNA from 1 species
GAUAAAGUGGCUGAAUAUUAGGUUAUAAAUUGUAAAUUUAUAUAUGGUACUGUGUACCCUUUAUCA